CCAGACCGAGAACAGAAGCAAAAUCAAAAUUGAGCGGAGCCAGGCUAUGGAAAGUACGGGUCUUGCGCGGAGAGAAACAGUUCUGAAAAGAAAGAAAAAAUAAAAUAUUGAUUACUGAGUCAUUGUUUUGAGGAAAUAGAGAGGAGUACAAUUGCAAAUGUUGUUCCAGAUUUUUAUUUUAUUUUGCGGUUGGCUAGACUAACCGAAGCACAGUCCCCUCCACUACGGUUGGAGAACUGUAGCUACCCCGGCUGUGUCCUUCCCUUCUAUUUUUUGGUGAUAAUUGACUGAUUGAUCCAUUUAACUGAUUGAACCAUCGUCUACAAUGUAGCUACUAGUUUCCCUGUGUACUGGAGUGGAGUGCAGACUUGCCAUAACACCAUCACUUUCUAUAGUUAAUCGGGAUAUCGACCUCUUGUGAGAGACUGAACAGAAAGAAGAAACCUUGCUACAACUGAAGAAGCAGCUACCACAUCAUGUGAUGGUGACUGCUGACAUCACUGUCUCUGGACUGUUCUUUGACAUACCUGGCACUGGGUCAAGUCUCACUGUCGGGCUCCAGUAAAGUCCAGUUCUCUGCUGCCCCCACCCCUUGGCACAUGUACUCACACACUUAAAUACUCACACACGUCUGCCUGGUGAGUAUAAGGCAAGUUCAGAGCUUAAAAGGAGGUGAGAAGAUGCUGAGAUUCAUCAUUGGUUCACCAUAAACAGUUUAAGAUGGAGAGAAAGUGUCUACUUCUCUGUUUCGUGUCACUGCUGCUCCUCCCACCAGACACAGCCUCUGGUAACCUCCCCCUCACUUCAGAAGACCCUCCCCUCAACAGAGACGACCUCCCCCUCAACACAGAAGAAUACCCUGUCCCCCCACUGACCACAGCCUCUAGUGACCUCCCUGUCUCCCCACCAGACCCAGCCUCUAGUGACCUCCCUGUCUCCCCACCAGACCCAGCCUCUAGUGACC